AUUCAUGUUCGUUACUUCUAUGAAGAAAGUGGCCAAACAAAAUAGGAAUUGCGCAAUGGACAAGUUUCAGUUUGUUGAUAGAUUGAAGAGUUUUGGAUACAUGACCAAAAAAGAUUUUGCAACCCAAGUACAUUGUGCUGGCACCGCAAUUAAACAUUUAUCAGUUUUAUGAAGUUCUGGGAGAAGGAAGUGUUCACGAUAAACUUACUGAACCCUGGAAUAUAGAAAAAUUACACUCCAAUUGCAAAGUAACGAGAUUUCACUUCCGUCUCCACACUGACGAUGGAUUGAAGAUAUGCACAGCCCAAUGCCUGUGUGAUGUUCUCUUUAUCUGUUGUAAAAGAUUGUUAAACUUAAUUCUGAGAUAUUCUACAUAGUUUUUUAAAAUAAAUUCACACGGAAUGGAUUCAUUUGAAGUAAAAACGUUUACUUUACUCAAA